GGCCUGUAGCUGAUGGUUAGAGCCGGUGGCUCAUAACCGCAUGGUUGGGGCUCGAAUCCCUCCGGCCGG
rnacentral:tRNA from 1 species